rnacentral:misc_RNA from 1 species
UCUCCGUUGGUGAACCAGCGGAGGGAUCAUUACCGAGUUAUCAACUCCCAAACCCCUGUGAACAUACCACAACGUUGCCUCGGCGGGACCGCCCCGGCGCCCCUAGCGGCCCGGAACCAGGCGCCCGCCGGAGGACCCAAACUCUUGCUUUGAACAGUGGCAUACUCUCUGAGUCUCAAAAACAAAAAUAAAUUAAAACUUUCAACAACGGAUCUCUUGGCUCUG